CUCACACACAGCAUGGUGCCUGGUGAGUCUGGGUCACUUUUCCAUGUCCCCUCCUCCUCCAGGGAAUGGUUGAUGGGUCUGGAAUGAAGCUGAAGUGCUAAAGUGACCCAGGAGAGCUCAGGUGAGACACAGAUCCUGCACAGAGUCUCUCUCCAUGCUGAAAUGUUCCUUGGAAGCUCCUCAGGGCAUGUGGAGAUGGAAUUCUCCAGGAAAGGGAUGGAGAAGGAUGAGAAAACCUGUUUGUGCUGGUACUGACAGAGAAAUGAAUUUCUGCACUGACUUGAAUUUCAGAGGUGAUUAUAUCUCUUGGAGAACAUGUGGCCUGGAAUUAGUUUAUCCAUGUGCUUUGACCUCCAGCCCAUUCCAGGCCCUGCUUGAAGCCCCCAGGGGAGGGGGGGGGUAUGAGUUUGCUUAAG